rnacentral:lncRNA from 1 species
AUAUAAAAGAUAAGAAAAGAUAAAAGUAUAGAUACAAGCUAGUAGUAAGACUCAAGGUUAUCUCAGCAAACCGUCUUUCUUCCCGGCAACGGCGCCAGAAAUGCUUGUUGAUAUUUGGGAACGCAAUAAGGAAUUGAUCCGCAAGCGCACGGAUAUCGGUGAGCACUUCACCCGGGAGGUUAUCCAGAGUAUCGUAUUUAUUUUUUUACCAC